UUGGGCGAUUGCCGACCUGGUCGCGGGCCUGGGGAGAAUAGGAAAUCGGGUGUAAAUCCCGAGCGGUCCCGCCGCUGUGAACGGGGAGUGAUUCCGGUAAAUGCCACUGGCCGCCAGGCGGCCGGGAAGGCCCGGAAAAACGAUGAGCCGUGAGCCAGAAGGCCUGCCCCUUGGUUAGCCGCCGC
rnacentral:ncRNA from 2 species